rnacentral:lncRNA from 1 species
UUGAUAGUUUUGUUAGGGUUUUGUGUUUUUGGAUUUAUGUUAAACAGAAAGAACAACAGAAAAGGAAGCAAAAGGCAAGCUAUUUCAUUUCAUAAAAAGUGAUAGUGGGCGGCUUCCAGCCUUUAUGGACAGACCCUGCUCAUGUUUGCCACGUGGCCUUAGCUUACUGGUUCCCAAAAUAACAGAAACUACCACUACUGAAAAACAGACAAUGACAUAAUAAUUAAAGGUGCACAUCAAAACGACAUCGUAACAAUAGUGGACAAUGUGAAAAUGUGACAACUCGCUCCUCCUUCAGAACAUCCUUGACCUCAAGGAUGGAAAUCAGGGAACUUUGAAGACAAUUGUUCCCAUAAUUCCCAAGUAGCUUCGUCUGAGGUUCCAUUCUCCCACUGUACCAGAACCAUGGUUGCUGGUCUAUUCCCCUUUUUAAUCAAUCUCCUGUCCAGAAUCAAAAGAGGCUUGGGGUUGAUAACACCAGUAUCAUCAGUACUGGGUAGAGCAGUCUGCACCAUCUUUCUACUACCAAUCUUCUUCUUCAAUUGGGAAACGUGGAAGACAUUGUGAAUCCGGGAAUUUGCUGGUAAAGCUAGCUGAUAUGCCACCUUGCCAAUACGCUUGGUGAUCAUGUAGGGGCCAUAGUAUUUAGCAGAUAGCUUGUGGUUUCUGCGUUCACACAGGGAUUGCUGUCGGUAAGGUUGAAGCUUGAGGAAGACUUCAUCAUUAACACUGAAUUCUCUGUCAGUUCGUUUCUUAUCAUAGUACCAUUUCAUGCGCUCCUGAGCCUUAACCAAGUUGUCCUUGAUCAGUUGCUGGGUAGCGAGGCGAUCCUUCAGAAAAUUAUUAACUUCUGGGUCCUUGGUUCGAUGAAAAUGGAAGUUGACUGAGGGUGGUUCCAUAGAGUAAAGAGCUUGGAAUGGAGACAUACCCAGAGCAGUGUGAUGUGAAGAAUUGUACCACCAUUCUGCCAUGGUUAACCAAGAAGCCCAAGUGUGUGGUUUAUGGCCCGCAACACAUCUCAAAAACAUCUCGAUACACUGAUUCACGCGCUCUGUUUGCCCAUCCGUUUGGGGAUGGUAUGCUGUGCUCAUCUUGAGCUUGACACCCAUAGCAGUGAAGAGUUCCUUCCAGAAUGAGCUCAUGAAAACAGAGUCCCUAUCUGAGAUGAUGGCUGAAGGUAAACCAUGCAAUUUAACCACAUUAUCCAUAACGGCAGUAGCUACCUUGACAGCAGUGAAAGGGUGAGAGAGAGGGAUCAGAUGACAGUAUUUUGUUAGCUUAUCAACUACCACCAAAAUGGUAUCCAUGCCCUUGGACUUGGGAAGGCCCUCCACGAAGUCCAUAGAAAUAACUUCCCAUACCUCUGAAGGGAUAGGGAUGGGCUGUAGUAAUCCAGCAGCCGGUAAAUGUUCUGACUUGUUACGCUGACACACAUCACAUUCCUUGAUGAAAGAUGCAAAAUCAGAUUUCAUGCUUGGCCAAUAGAAUAAUCGUUCAGUUCUUUUUACAGAGGCUGCUACUCCAGAGUGCCCCCCUUCGCUGCUACUAUGCAUAGUCACACAUAUUCUAUGCCUCAAGUCAGUUGCAGCGCCCACAUAGUACUUGCCAUUGUACCUUAAAACAUUGUUCUCCAGGGUGUAACCACCAAAAUUACUGGGAUCAAUUAACAAUUUGGCCAAAAUUUCUUGAGCCACAGUAUCAUUACCCAAACUUUCUUCAAGUUCUUCCUUCCACCUGGGUUUAGUGGCAUGGACCAUUAGGUUUAACUCUGCUUCCUCGUGCAGUCUAGAAAGAGCGUNUCUUUCCCUUUCUUGUACUGAACACUGUAAUCAUAACCUAAUAGCUUGGAGAGCCAUUUUUGUUGGAGGCUAGUAGUGAUCUUUUGUUCCAUCAGGUGCUUAAGAGCCUCAUGGUCGGUCCUUAUAACAAAAGGAUGGCCCAGAAGAUACGUUCUCCAUUUUUGAGUAGCCAUAAUCACAGCUAAUAGCUCCUUUUCAUAUGUACUCAUCCCCAUGUGUUUAGGACUGAUGGCCUUGCUAAGGUAUGCAAUGGGCUUCCCUUCUUGCAUAAGAACUGCACCGAUCCCUCCGUUGCAAGCAUCAGUUUCAACAACUAAUGGCUUGGUAAAAUCUGGUAGAGCCAGCACUGGAGUACUUGACAUUGCUUCCUUCAGUUGUUGGAAGGCUGUUGUGGCUUCUUCCGUCCAAUUGAAGUUCCCCUUUUUAAGCAAUUCAGUUAGUGGCUUACUAAUAGUGCCGUAAUUCUUGACAAAGCGUCUAUAGUAGCCGGUCAAUCCUAAGAAUCCCCUGAGUCCUUUGAUAUUCCUGGGCUGUGGCCACAAGGUCAUGGCUUUAACCUUGUUUGGAUCAGCAGCAACCCCUUUACAACUGAUGAUAUGUCCCAAAUAUUCAACUUCUUCUCUAGCGAUUUCGCACUUGCUUCUCUUAACAAACAUUUGUGAGCCCGCAAUUUAUCAAAGACCAGCUUCAAUUGGUGCUCAUGCUCUUCCAGAUUACUGCUAUAAACUAGAAUAUCAUCGAAAAAUACUAGUACGAAUUUUCGAAGAUACUCAGCAAACACUUCGUUCAUCAAAGCUUGAAAGGAUGCGGGGGCGUUAGUUAAACCGAAAGGCAUAACUAAAAACUCGAAAUGGCCUUGGUGAGUUUUGAAUGCAGUUUUGUAAGUGUCAUUCUCAUGGACCUUGAUUUGAUGGUACCCACUACGAAGAUCAAGCUUGAAAUAUACAGUACUGCCUUUGAGUUCUGCUAGUAAUUCUUCAAUGACGGGAAUUGGGAACUUAUUCUUGACUGUUAUGGCGUUGAGUGCCCUGUAAUCUACCACCAACCGCCAAGUAUUAUCCUUCUUCCUCACCAGGAGAACAGGGGAUGAGUAGGGGGAUGUGCUGGCCUUGAUUACCCCAGCCUCGAGCAUUUCCUUGGUGAUUUUUUCAAUUUCUUCUCUGUGUGCUAGAGGACAUCUGUAAGGAUGAGAGUUCACUGGUUCGCUACCAGCCUUGAGGGGAAUGUGGUGAUCAUGGUUUCGGGGAGGAGGCAGUUGAGUGGGCGAAGCGAAAACAUCAACAUAGUCUUCCAAUACUUGACUGAUGUUAUUAGGGAGCUUAUCUGUGACGUUGGGGAGACCUUCAAGUGUUGUUACUUGAAUGAGGAAAUAGGCCUCUUCUUUGUGAAACUUAUUAUUUCCUUUCUUCAGACGCAAUUGCACCUUUGCAGGGUUAGUGAAUUGUUGUAAACCCACCCUUUUGCCUUGGUGGUUUACUGUAAUCAUGCCCUUGGCGUAAUCAAAGGUAACGGGGCUCACCGUAGUCAUCCAUUGAGCACCCAAAAUGAUGUCAUAACCCCCCAGAGGAAUAAGGUGCAUAUUGGUGGAAAACACCUCGUCUGCCAUGCUCCACUUAACUGGCUCCACCGUUGUAUUGCACUGGACCUUGUUUCCGUCGGCAACUGUAAUGCUAAAAGGUGCACAGGGAUUUGUUUUGAGUUGCAACCUUUUUGCCAAGUUCUGGGACAUGAAAUCAUGCGUAGAGCCACUGUCUACUAAGAUAUUAACAAGGUGCCCUUGGAUGUUCCCCUGCAAUUUAAUAGUUCCGCUGCCCUGAGAACCAUUCAUGGCGUGUAGCGAGACCUUAGCCGCUGCACAUUCAUCUUCCUGUGGUUGUUCUGUGUUACAACCUUCCCAGGUAAUAGUUAAUUCUUCUUCAUUCUGUACUGCAGCUACCUCUUCAUCUCCAAUGAGGACAAACAAUUUUUUCUUUCUGCAAUCAUGCCCUGGCUCAUACUUUUGAUCGCAGUGGUAGCAUAAUCCCUUCUGCCUUUUUUCAGUUAGCUCAGCCAGAGACAACUUCUUAAAACCCUCUGUGGGAGGUUUAGACCCUGUGUUAUCACUGAAACUUCUAGUAGGGUAGGAUUUUGGCAGGGUUUUGGUAUGUGUUCCCAUGGCUCUGUAGCGUUUGUCCAGUACAGUGAGAAAAAACUUUUGGCCUCUGGCCAGAUCUCUUGCCUCCUGCAUAGUCUUGGGUUUCUGGUUGUACAAGUGUUGAGCAAUGUCAUCUUUAAGGCCACUAAUGAAGUUGUCAAUAUAGUAAGAUUCUCGGUGGAAACCCUCUUCUGCCAUAACAUAAUUUCGUAACUCAUCAAACUGAGUUAUAUACUCCUCCACUCUCCCCUUUUGUGUCAAUUUAUUGAACUGCCCCACCAGGUUUUCAUAGCCCACCUUCGAGAAUCGUUGACAAACCAGAUUACAAAAUUCCGGCCACAACAAAUUAGAUUUCUCCCUUUCUACUGUUCUAUACCAUAUAUCAGCAUCAUUCUCCAUGUGUAAAGCUGCACAUAAGACCCUUGACCUCAGAUCAGUAGUGGGGUUUAACUGAAAAAACUUUUCGCACUUGUUUAACCACCCCCUCGGGUCUUUUCCAUCAAACUUUGGGAAAUCCAGCUUUGGGGUUUUGUACGGUGUGGUGAUAGAGGGUAUAAACCCAAUGUUUUGUGGGUUUGAGUUGGGAUGGAUGGGGUUUGCAGUUGGUUGACUAAAAGUGGAGUAGUGGUUUUGUGGUGUUGAAACUGAGUUUUGGGUGAAGUGAGGGUAUAAAGGCAGAGCAUAGGGGUUUAAAGUGGACUGAAUGUAUGGUGGUUGGUAAGAUGCCAAACCCGUUGUAGGUUGGGGCAUAGGGAAAGUGGUGUUUGGCCNNNAAGAGGUGUUUGGCCAGCUGUUGGUUAAAAACUGGGUUUGAGGAACAAAAAAGCCAGGAGGAGUGGUGGGGUUUAUGGUGGUGUGUAGAGUAGGCUGGGAAGGGUUUAUGGGUCGUGGAAAAGGUGUGAUGGUUGAGCCACUCCAGUUAAUGCUACGAAAAUUACUCAUGUCACCAGAGCUAACAGAGCUUUCAAUAGUAGCAAUAUGAGUAGGAGUUUGUGGAUUAGAGCUUACCAGUGUGACGAUAUCUGAAGUUGGAGCAUCAUUUCCCCCAGGUAUUGAAGCCCUACCCAGAACCUCCUUCUUCAGUAACGCUGUAAGCUCAUCUAGACGAGUUUUGACCUCAAAAUUACUCUGUCUCACCAUCGCCACAUCCAUCUUUAGCUGACCCAUUUGUUCUUGAGUCGCUGUGUUAAAACUUUCAAAUGUGCCCAGCUUUUCUUCCAACGCUGCAAUGGAUUUUUCAUGCUUCUGAAUAGUGGGUUUAUCUGCCAUCAAGAUUCAAAGAAAAGUUUCCGAGGGCCGACGGCUCUGAUACCAAUUUGUGAUGUUUUUGAUAGUUUUGUUAGGGUUUUGUGUUUUUGGAUUUAUGUUAAACAGAAAGAACAACAGAAAAGGAAGCAAAAGGCAAGCUAUUUCAUUUCAUAAAAAGUGAUAGUGGGCGGCUUCCAGCCUUUAUGGACAGACCCUGCUCAUGUUUGCCACGUGGCCUUAGCUUACUGGUUCCCAAAAUAACAGAAACUACCACUACUGAAAAACAGACAAUGACAUAAUAAUUAAAGGUGCACAUCAAAACGACAUCGUAACAAUAGUGGACAAUGUGAAAAUGUGACAGAA